ACGGAGGAGGUGUCCUAGGUCGCGAUCUGCGAUCGUUCCGUGCCACUCCAUCUGAAUGACAUCCAACACGAAUCACUAACCAGAAAUGGACAACAUUUUCGGAUUUAAAAAGAGGAUGGUGUACCCCGAACAACUGAAUCUAGACCAAAUCGUUGGAAAGUCUGCUCAAAACGCUUCUUCUUGGUGUAGCGAACCCUUAGAGGAAAACAGCAAUAACAUAAAUGUGUCGGAAGAACUGAAAAAUCGAAAGUGCCCCAAUAAUACAGCUGAUUGCGGAAACAGGAAUGGCCCCGAUGAAACGAUUUUUUCUAAUUCUAAUUUAACCAACCCCAUGCCACAAACGAUAGCUAACAGGCAGUUCAUACAGGACCGAGUACGGCAUCUUGUAGAAGCAUUUUCAACUCGAGCUCAAGCCGCUAGAGAAAAAAUAGAAACCCCUGCCACCCCCUCAUCUAUCAGCAGCCGGGAAACAAUCGAUCCUCAGUCUAGGAUUCCCUUGAAUCCAAAACUUAGCAUUUCCUUUUCCGAUAAGUACGAUGAACAUUUACCGGAAAUCAAAAUACAAAACGGAUUCUCCAAAUUCUUCGAAACGCAAAUCAUUGACCCAAAUUCCAAAUUCUACAUCACGUGGAUGUGCGUAGCAGCCAUGUCGGUCCUCUACAAUGCUUGGGUGAUUCCCUUGAGGAGCACCUUCCCUUAUCAAACAAAAGAAAACAGGCCGAUAUGGAUGACGUUCGACUACAUGGCUGACUUGAUUUACUUGAUCGAUGCGCUUUUUAUCCAGCCGAGAGUCAAAUAUUUGAACGACGGCUUCUGGGUCACUGACGUUAGGUUAUUGAGGAGGAAUUAUAUUAAAAACAAACGUUUUAAGCUGGAUCUUCUGUCUCUUCUGCCCCUCGAUUUUCUAUACUUCAUCUGGGGCCCGGAGUUCGUCGUUCUACGCUUCCCGAGGUUUCUCAAAAUCUACACUUUCUGGGAAUUCUUUAGCUUCAUGGAUAAAUUGCUCUCCAACCCAUACAUAAUCAGGGUAACCAGAACGCUCAUGUAUAUGAUGUAUUUGAUCCACUUGAACGCUUGCGCAUACUACUCGUUUUCCGCUUGGGAAGGAAUCGGCAGCAAUAACUUCGUGUACAAUGGACAAGGAAACGCUUACAUCAAAUGUUUUUAUUUCGCAACAAAGACUGCCACUUCGAUUGGUAAAAAUCCGAAACCAACUCAGGAAAUCGAAUACAUGUUCAUGACCUUUUCAUGGUUGAUGGGCGUCUUCGUAUUCGCCCUUCUCAUAGGUCAAAUUCGUGACAUCAUUUCCACGGCUACCAGAUCGAAGACAGAAUACAGAAAACUCGUUGACGAAACGUUGGAGUACAUGCGUAGACUGAACUUGCCGCAGGAUAUGCAACGGAGAGUCCAAUUGUGGUUCAACUACACCUGGGAAACUCAAAGGACCUUAGAUGAAAACACAAUUAUGGACUGUUUGCCACACAAGAUGAAGACUGAUAUAGCUAUAAACGUCCACAUCCAGACGCUGAGCAAGGUGAAGUUGUUCGCCGAUUGCGAUGAAGCUCUUUUGAGGGAGUUGGUUUUGCAACUGAAAUCCGUAAUUUACCUGCCAGGGGAUAUAGUUUGUAAGAAGGGGGACGUAGGAAAAGAAAUGUACAUUAUACAGUCGGGAAAGGUUCAGGUUAUAGGAACGUCAGGAAAUGAAGUUUUGGCGACACUUUCUGAAGGUUCCGUAUUCGGAGAGAUAAGUCUGUUGGGUAUCCAAGGAAUGAAUAGAAGAACAGCCGACGUCUCAAGGCUACUCGAACCUUUUCGUUUUGAGUAAGGCAGACUUGAACGCGGCUUUAUCUCAUUAUCCAGAAGCUCAAGAAUUGCUCAAUAAGAAAGCGAAAGCUUUAAUGAAGAAAAAUGCAGCCCUAGAGAGGAAACAUAAAGCAAUGAUCAUCAUAAAAAAUCCCAGCACUCCUCAAAGUCAAGCCAAACUUUUAAACACUGUCCUUCAGGUUGUGCCUCCAGAUUCCAGAGCGAACAGGCUUUUAAGGUAUGGAAGUAGGGGGAAGCCCAUGCCAAAUCCAGAAUAUGAUAAACUCAAAUAUAGAAACAGUUUACCUGCUAUUGAGAUAUAUAAUGGAGCAAAUGACAAAACUUUUCAAACGAAAGUGACUGUGCACCGAAGUAUGAGCUGAAACUCUUAGUUGUUUGGAAAAAACUUUAAUACAUUAUUUUUUUAUUACAAAGCAAUGAAUAAAUAAAU
rnacentral:misc_RNA from 1 species